UACGUAGGGUGCAAGCGUUAAUCGGAAUUACUGGGCGUAAAGCGUGCGUAGGCGGCUGCGCAAGUCGGUUGUGAAACCCCGGGGCUCAACCCCGGAACUGCAUCCGAUACUGCGUGGCUAGAGGUAGGUAGGGGAGAUCGGAAUUCCUGGUGUAGCGGUGAAAUGCGCAGAUAUCAGGAGGAACACCGGUGGCGAAGGCGGAUCUCUGGGCCUUACCUGACGCUCAGGCACGAAAGCUAGGGGAGCGAACAGG
rnacentral:rRNA from 1 species